rnacentral:tmRNA from 1 species
GGGGCUGACUGGCUUUGACAGCGUGUAGAGGUGGUGGGUAAGCAUGCAGAGUGAUGAUGCCUACACUCUUUAAUCAGCGACAUCAAAAAUUCAAAUGGCGAAAACAACUACGCUCUCGCUGCUUAAUCGAAGUACAGUAGAUUAACUUUAUCUCAGCAACAGUUGCCGAGACGAGACAUCACCCGAUUGUCCUUUUUCCGAGACGGAUCGACCCGGUGGUGCAGUUAAAUCGGAAAUAUGGCGGUGAAAGCCUCGCGAUCCGCCGAGACUCUUAGAGGAUAAGGACGGAAUUGG